rnacentral:lncRNA from 1 species
AACAUUAAACCAAACCCAUAACACAAUGCUAUCAAUACUGGACCCUCAAGGCGACUCCUUGGAAAUCCCGCUGUUGCCCUGAGUUAUGGACAUCCCACAGCGUUUGUUCUGCAGGGUAGUAAAAAGGCAGAGACUGCUGGCAGGAGCUGCUAUGGCACCGUGAGCUGCAGCUGAUCUCCGGGAACUCUGCUGCCUGGUCCAGCCAGUUGUACAAUCGCUUCAAGACUGCAGCAUGGCAAUCACAUGAACCGUCGCAGCGGAUCAAGUUUAAGACUCUUCUGCUACAUGAGCAAAGGACCCCCUCUUUGAUGGACCCAGAACUAGCCUCUCCCACAAAGACCCUCCUCAGCAAAAAAAAAAAAAAAAAAAAAAAAAAAG